UACGUAGGCAGCAAGCGUUGUUAGGAAUUACUGGGCGUAAAGGGUGCGUAGGCGGUUUUGUAAGUUUGGAGUGAAAUCUCCCGGCUUAACUGGGAGGGUGCGCCGAAAACUGCAAGGCUAGAGUGCAGGAGAGGAGAGUGGAAUUCCUGGUGUAGCGGUGAAAUGCGUAGAUAUCAGGAGGAACACCGGUGGUGUAGACGGCUCUCUUGACUGUUACUGACGCUGAGGCACGAAAUCGUGGGGUGCAAACAGG
rnacentral:rRNA from 1 species